CUAGAGCUUCUAUUAUAUCAGCCCAUAUUUAUUCAUGGUCUUAUCUACAGGCAGUUUAUAAUACAAAUAAAUUUGCGAGGCUUAUUAGAGGAAAGAAGCGGCUUUAAAACUGGCUUGACUAUAAUCAGAUCAAAUUUGAAAAACAUCCGGAUAAGUGACCCACUAGAAUGGUGGGUGCAAUUGACUUCUAUGCAGAGAAGAUCAAAGAACUUGAUAAAAGAGUGAGCAUUAUAUCUACUUCAAUAGUGUUUUUCUUAGAUUAUAGCUGAGGAUCGUGCAUGAUAAGUUCAAAGAGGAUGUUAAUCAACGCCUCCUGAACUACAAGAAUACCAUCGAGGAGUUCCAAGCUGAUCAAAUGGAGCUUAAAACAAACUUGGAGAGGCAAAAAGCAUCGCACUUAAAGCUUCUUCUGUGAGUUGAAGAUCAAAUAAAGGUUGAACUACAUGUUGCUAUAACAAGCAUAUUAGAAGUC